rnacentral:rRNA from 1 species
AGACAGCAGUCGCCACGGUAAAACGUAGGGCGCAAGCGUUAUCCGGAAUUAUUGGGCGUAAAGAGCUCGUAGGCGGUUUGUCGCGUCUGCCGUGAAAGUCCGGGGCUCAACCCCGGAUCUGCGGUGGGUACGGGCAGACUAGAGUGAUGUAGGGGAGACUGGAAUUCCUGGUGUAGCGGUGAAAUGCGCAGAUAUCAGGAGGAACACCGAUGGCGAAGGCAGGUCUCUGGGCAUUAACUGACGCUGAGGAGCGAAAGCAUGGGGAGCGAACAGGAUUAGAUACCCCUGUAGUCCCUGUCUCUUAUAC